UUUUUAUUUUUUUCCAUUAUAGCUGGUUUACAGCGUUCUGUCAAUUUUCUACUGUACAGCAAGGUGACCCAGUUUCACAUACAUGUAUACCUUCUAUUUUCUCACAUUAUCAUGCUCCAUCAUAAGUGAUCAGACAUAGUUCCCAGUGUAACACAGCAGUAUCUCAUUGCUAAUCCAUUCCAAAGGCAAUAAUAGUUUGCAUCUAUUAACCCCAAGUAUGUGAUUAAACUUAAAUACCUUGCAAUUUGAUGCUAUUAUCUAUUUUAAAAUACAUUUGAAUUUUGGACUCUAAUAGGCAAUUUACAUGUUCCUUUUUCUCCUAGAAUUGUAUUUCCAUUUCCCAUCUCCAUCACUGAAUUUUCUCCUAAUGUGUUUUCAUGGCUGAAAGCCUUUUUUUUUUUUUUUUUUUGAUUGGCAAGAAAUUGAUUUAUUGGCAUUCCCGUCGUGGCUCUGUGGUUAACGCAUCCGACUUGGAACCAUGAGCCACAAUGGAAACUCCUAUUAUAAUUAUUAAUAGUAUAUAAUUGAUGAAAAUAAAAAUAUUACAAAUUUGGACAAUUAAAGCACAUGAAAAGCAAAAUUUUAUGGUAAAUUUAUUGCCUAAUGAGAUGGAUGGAAUGUUUGUAUAAAUUAGUUCAUGCAUACAAUGAUAAACAUUACUUAUUUUUCAGUUUUUAUAACUCUAGGCCUUGAGACACUGUUCUAUUAAAUAAGUAGAAUAGAAUGGAGCUGUGUGCGCUAUAGAGAUGGCCCUCAGUUCUUUGAACUCCUUUCUAGUUAUUUGCCAAAAAUCUAUCAUUAAAUAUUACAUUCAAUGAUCUAUCAGCUAACAAAUUGAUUAAAUUUUCCUUCAAUUUUGUUGAAAACAAAGUACUGGAAAGCAUGUGAUUUGCAAAAGAAUGUAUUACCCAUUCCUUUGAACCAUUCCCUUUCUCAAUGUUCAUAUACUUAACUGAAAUAUAUACACACUGGGCGGUGCAUCAGAGAGAGAUGAGUGAGUGAGAGGUGCACUUUGCUUUGAUAAACUGAGGAAAGGGCCCCCCCCCCCACCAGCAGAGAAGGCAAGUGGUAGAGAUCCACAUGGCCCUCACUAGGGCCCUACCUCAAGAAGACCAAUUUAGGGAAGUAUAUGGAUGGAUGUGGGAAUUCAUUAUCACAAACUAUCUAUGCCUGCAUAUCCGUUUGAAAACCUUUGUGUAUCCCCUAGGUGGUGUAACCCAGUUGGAAGACCACAGAUCUAAGAUUUCUGUGAUGAGCAGUGUAUUUGCCUGUGAAUCAGAGGACAGAAACAAAUGCAGAGAGUGGAAUUAAGGAGUCUGAAGCCAGCUCAACAACAAAAUGUUCUCACACUCAUUCAUUCAACAAAUAUAUAUUGAGCAUAAGCAUAUGUCAAGCACUGGAGAUACAAGUGUGAACAAAACAGAAAGACCCUCUAUGUGGAUCUGACCAGUGGGCCUGCCCACACUGGGCUACUACUCCAUUACUGGAAGAAGACAUCUCAUGAGAAUGCUGUGGAGUUAAUUCAAGAUUUAUAGGCAGGUUGGUUAGGCCAAAUCUAACCUCUAUCCUAUGCCUUCAGACUCCUAUGAAUCUGAAGUUUAGUGAACGAGAGUUCUCCAGACUCAAAGGAGGGAAAAUAUCUUUCUCCUCUUUUCUCAAUCCCCUAAAUUUACAAAGAGGCUUUUAAGUGUUUGCUAAUGAAAUGGCUGUUAUGACAGAAAGGUGAUAUUCGGUGAUAUUCAGCCAGUGGGCUGAAUUACACCACCAGCUUUCCUGUCUCCAGCUUGUAGACACCAGAUUGUGGCCUUUCAUGGCCUCCAUAACCACAUGAGCCAACUCCUAUAAUAAAUCUCCUCAUAUCUGUAUUCUGUAGGUUCUGUUCCCUGGAAAACCUUGAUCAUGCAGUCACACAGUCAUCUUACAGCAACCCUGAUGGAGACUUCUCUUGGCUACAAUGCCUUUGAAGUUUCCUGCCUCCUGAUGUAAUGCUCAAAGGUGUAAUCUGACAUUCACAUCCCCAAGUAAAUCGUACCCAAUGUAGGUAUCUCAGAGCUGGUAACUUCCCAUCCCAAGUACAGUCACACUGUCACCUCUCAACCCCAUGGCUGAGAUUCAUCACACUCUGGGCCUCAGGACCUCUUCCUCACUUUUUGUCUCCUCAGUCAGCUGUCACCUCCAUCGUGCACUCCAUCUUCCCCC
rnacentral:lncRNA from 1 species